rnacentral:rRNA from 1 species
GACGAACGCUGGCGGCGUGCUUAACACAUGCAAGUCGAACGGUGAAGCGCUUUCCUUUUUGUUGGGUGUGGAUGAGUGGCGAACGGGGGAGUAACACGUGUGUAACCUGCCUCAUUCUUCUGGAUAACCGCAUGAAAGUGUGGCUACGACGGGUUAUUCUCCGCCUACUGCUUGGUGGGCGUGGGAGAGAUUGUGCCUUGGUGUGGUUGCGGGGGGGGAUGGGCUCGCGGCCUAUCAGCUGGUUGGUGGGGUGAUGGCCUAGCAAGGCGGUGAAGGGUAGCCGGACUGAGAGGGUGGACAGUCCGACUGGGAGUGAGACACGGCCCAGACUGCUACGGGAGGCAGCAGUGGGGAAUAUUGCAGAAUGGGCGCAAGACUGAGGCCGCGGCGCGGAGUCAGGGAUGGGGGACUUCGGGUUAUGUACAUCUUCCGCCAGUGAAGCAGGCCUGCUGCUUGUGGGUGGGUUGACGGUAGCUGGAUAAGAAGCGCCGGCUAACUACGUG